rnacentral:rRNA from 1 species
GUAGCAAACACUGUUUUUAUAUAUAUAUAUAUAUAUAUAUAUAUAUAUAUAUAUAUUUUCUAACUGCAGAGUAGCUGUUGACAUUAUAGUUGCGCAGGCACUUUGUUGACUCUAGAGAACCUCGGGCCAAUCGCACAUCCCCGUGGCAGCGACUUUGCAUGCGGAUGUCAUCCAUAUCAACUUUCUGCGCCUACCAUGGUGACCACGGGUAAUGGGGAAUCAGGGUUCCAUUCUGUACAGGGACCCUGAGAAACGGCUACCACAUGCAAGGAAGGCAGCAGGCGCGCAAAUGACCUACUCCCAACGCGGGAAGGUAGUGAC